rnacentral:rRNA from 1 species
AGUGAACGCUGGCGGUAGGCCUAACACAUGCAAGUCGAACGGCAGCACAGUAAGAGCUUGCUCUUACGGGUGGCGAGUGGCGGACGGGUGAGGAAUACAUCGGCAUCUACUUUUUCGUGGGGGAUAACGUAGGGAAACUUACGCUAAUACCGCAUACGACCUACGGGUGAAAGCAGGGGAUCUUCGGACCUUUCGCGAUUGUAUGAGCCGAUGUCGGAUUAGCUAGUUGGCGGGGUAAAGGCCCACCAAGGCGACGAUCCGUAGCUGGUCUGAGAGGAUGAUCAGCCACACUGGAACUGAGACACGGUCCAGACUCCUACGGGAGGCAGCAGUGGGGAAUAUUGGACAAUGGGCGCAAGCCUGAUCCAGCCAUACCGCGUGGGUGAAGAAGGCCUUCGGGUUGUAAAGCCCUUUUGUUGGGAAAGAAAAGCAGCAGGUUAAUACCCCGCUGUUCUGACGGUACCCAAAGAAUAAGCACCGGCUAACUUCGUG